UACGGGGGGAGCAAGCGUUGUUCGGAUUUACUGGGCGUAAAGGGCGCGUAGGCGGCGCAACAAGUCACUUGUGAAAUCUCCGGGCUUAACCCGGAGCGGCCAAGUGAUACUGUCGUGCUAGAGUGCGGAAGGGGCUACUGGAAUUCUCGGUGUAGCGGUGAAAUGCGUAGAUAUUGAGAGGAACACCUGCGGCGAAGGCGGGUAGCUGGGCCGACACUGACGCUGAGGCGCGAAAGCCAGGGGAGCGAACGGG
rnacentral:rRNA from 1 species